rnacentral:rRNA from 1 species
UGGGGAAUAUUGGACAAUGGGCGGAAGCCUGAUCCAGCAACGCCGCGUGAGGGAUGACGGCCUUCGGGUUGUAAACCUCUUUCACCAUUGACGAAGCUGCACUUUGUGUGUGGUGACGGUAGGUGGGGAAGAAGCACCGGCCAACUACGUGCCAGCAGCCGCGGUAAUACGUAGGGUGCGAGCGUUGUCCGGAAUUAUUGGGCGUAAAGGGCUCGUAGGCGGUUUGUCGCGUCGGGAGUGAAAACACUGGGCUUAACUCAGUGCUUGCUUUCGAUACGGGCAGACUAGAGGGAUGCAGGGGAGAACGGAAUUCCUGGUGUAGCGGUGAAAUGCGCAGAUAUCAGGAGGAACACCGGUGGCGAAGGCGGUUCUCUGGGCACGUCCUGACGCUGAGGAGCGAAAGUGUGGGGAGCGAA